AUGACGGGAUUCUUGUUGGCAGUUUCGUUUCGUUCCGGUAUUAUGCUCAGAAGAACCACUCAUCAAACCAGAUUAAUCAGCCACACAACAACACAUCACAACAAUAACACCCUUCGUUUCAACUUCUCAAACCAUAAUAAAGCCACUCACAGACCAGUUUUUGUAUCAAAGCAAGCAUCAGUUGAAUUUGAUGACAGGAAAAGCCCAAAUCAGGUAACAGUAACAAACUCAGCUUCAUAUUAUUUAUAUUCAGUAACCCAAAAACACAUUUAUACAAUGCUUCAUAUUGAUUACUCACAGACCAGUUUUUUUUAUAGGGCUUGA